AGGACUAAGAAGGCUGAUUCUGAUGAAGCAAGAGUCUGCUGAUACACUCCU
rnacentral:snoRNA from 1 species